rnacentral:misc_RNA from 1 species
CAACACUCAAGCCCCUGCUUGGCGUUGGGGUACUACGGCUCUCCGGAGCCAGUAGGCCCUCAAAAUCAGUGGCGGGACCGCUGGGGACCCGGGCGAAGUAAUGCUUACAGCGCCAAGGGACACCUAGCCGGCCUCAUGCCGUAAAACUACCAAUUUUUUACAG